rnacentral:rRNA from 1 species
CCUACGGGUGGCAGCAGUGGGGAAUAUUGGACAAUGGGCGAAAGCCUGAUCCAGCCAUGCCGCGUGUGUGAAGAAGGCCUUCGGGUUGUAAAGCACUUUCAGUGGGGAAGAAAGCCUUGGGGCUAAUACCCUCGAGGAAGGACAUCACCCACAGAAGAAGCACCGGCUAACUCCGUGCCAGCAGCCGCGGUAAUACGGAGGGUGCGAGCGUUAAUCGGAAUUACUGGGCGUAAAGCGCGCGUAGGCGGUCUGAUAAGCCGGUUGUGAAAGCCCCGGGCUCAACCUGGGAACGGCAUCCGGAACUGUCAGGCUAGAGUGCAGGAGAGGAAGGUAGAAUUCCCGGUGGAGCGGUGAAAUGCGUAGAGAUCGGGAGGAAUACCAGUGGCGAAGGCGGCCUUCUGGACUGACACUGACGCUGAGGUGCGAAAGCGUGGGUAGCAAACAGGAUUAGAUACCCGAGUAGUC